rnacentral:miRNA from 1 species
UAAGGUUGACUUGCUUAGAAGCU